UCCGAAUUGGUGUAGUGGUUAACAUUGCCGCCUCUCACUAAAUCUGGAUUACGUACGCGGUCACGUGAUGUGCGCGGCAGCCAGGGGUUCGAUUCCCCUAUUCGGAA